rnacentral:rRNA from 1 species
AACGAACGCUGGCGGCAGGCUUAACACAUGCAAGUCGAGCGCCCCGCAAGGGGAGCGGCAGACGGGUGAGUACCGCGUGGGAACGUACCCUUAUCUUCGUGAUAGCUCCGGGACACUGGAAUUAAUACCGAAUGUGCCCUUUGGGGGAAAGAUUUAUCGGAUAAGGAUCGGCCCGCGUUGGAUUAGCUAGUUGGUGGGGUAAAGGCCUACCAAGGCGACGAUCCAUAGCUGGUCUGAGAGGAUGAUCAGCCACAUUGGGACUGAGACACGGCCCAAACUCCUACGGGAGGCAGCAGUGGGGAAUAUUGGAAAAUGGGCGCAAGCCUGAUCCAGCCAUGCCGCGUGAGUGAUGAAGGCCUUAGGGUUGUAAAGCUCUUUCACCGGAGAAGAUAAUGACGGUAUCCGGAGAAGAAGCCCCGGCUAACUUCGUG